UCAUCUGCCUUUCCUUCUGCUAUUCUCCAUCGUCUUUGUCUCUCGCUUACCUUUUUUCUUCUUCCUCUACUCCUUCUCUGCUCUGUCUCCUUUGGCUUGCACUGGUUGCCUCCCUUUUAUGUGCAUGAGUUUGUGUUUGCUAAUUUUCAUGUGAACAGGAGAGUGGAACCAGCAAUGCUGUAGCCAAUGGGAGCUCUGUUCCUGUAUGACAUUCUCUCGUUUCCUCGACUUGCUUUAAGGCGUUAUCCUCUUGACUAAGCGUUCUAUUUUCCUAAUACUUCCAUGUGUCCACAGUUUAAAACUAAAGUCACAAUACAUUAGUACAUAGGAAAAGUGAGAAGAACACCACAGAAGAAUAUGUCUGGAGAAACGAAAAAAUCAGCUGCAGCCUGUCUUGGAGUUAUUCGUCUAGACUACGAUUAUGAAGCAGUCCCGGGUGA